GGAUAAUCUGGCUGUGAUAUCUGUCACCCUAUUGAUCACCACAGUUGAUUUGACUGAUCUGGCUGGCUAAGAGAAUGUUCUCUUCUUAUAUCAUUUUUCCCCAUUCAUCCUGAAACUGUGUGCUUAGUGAAAGAGGACCACUGUUUCANUGAUCUUCAGAAAAGAGUAUACAACUAGGGUUUGAUUUCUUAUAUCUCCAUGCAUAUCUAUAACAAUAUGGAAAAGAUUUAUUGUAGUCUUUUCCAGUUCUCAUACACUUCCGUCCAAGGUACAAGUUGUCUUUGAAGUU
rnacentral:snRNA from 1 species